GUAAAUGCCAAUACAGCAGCAACAAUGAUUACUGGCAUUAAAAGAAGAUAUAAAUUCAAGGAAUAAAGUUCACAAAGGCUAUUGGCUGUAAGUGGAUCUCAAAUCCCUGAAAUUUGAACAAUUUUGUCCACUGAGCUACAGAAGACACAAACUGAGGCAGGCUCCUUGGGACCUGAGUGAACUUGAGGACUGAGCAGUGGUGUUUCUCUGUAACCAGAUUAAAGAAUUGAACAAAAAAAUACAGCUGAAGGACUAAGAAGAAAGCAUAAGAGGAAAAGACUGGAUUCAGCAAGUUUGAAAAAAAGUGCAAAGAGAAUGCACAUGAAUUCUAAAUCGAUCUGCAUGAAGCAAAGGAAAAGUAUCUUACUAGUGCCUUACAUACUGUUCCUAAAUGCAAGUCACCAGUGGCGCAUGAAAGAGGCGUAAGAAUUGAAGGAUGGGAUCUGAGAAUCCAUGGGAACAAUCUGCCAGCAUAAAGGAUGAGGAGUGCCAGUUGGAUGUCUCUGCUUCAGAUCCUGCUGAAGAAUCCAUGCCAGAAAGGAAUUGACUUGCUUCCAUGUGACCACAAUUCAGUAUAUGUGGUAUUCUUUUGUUUAUUUUCUGAAAGAUUCUGAAAUCCAUGAAAUGUAAUUCUGUCUUAUUCAAUAUAAUGUGAAAAUAUUUCUAGGAUUUUUUUUGAUUCUGAUCGGGGACUCAGCUUUUGACCACAUUUCAAUAAAAGCUUUUCACUCCCACACACAAAGCCCAGUCAAAAUUUUGAACUCUCUCACAGCCUCCUGAUAAGUAGGACAAUUGGACCUUUUAGGACUGCAGUAGAGAGUUUUAGUGGAAAGGUAUCAAGGGACAUGGAAGAAAAGCAGAAAAAUGGACUUGAGGUGAAGAUCAGCCAUGAUCUAACCGAAUGGUGGAGCAAGCCUGAGGGAAUGUACGGCCUACCCCGUUACUAAUGAAUUACGAUGUAAUUAUUGGAUUCAGGUUCCAACUCAAUUCAGAUUCCGACAGUUUUAUUGAAAUCCUGUCAAAAGCAAGGGAGAACUCAUGGCAAUGAAUUGAAACAUCUCUGAAAAUUUUCCACACAGUAAUAAGGUACAAAUCUAAUUCAUCAUUACAGCAAAGUUUGCUUAUAACAAAUUGACCUUGAAAAGAGCUCUUAUCCAAAGCUGGAUGGAACUACUUUUCUUUAACAGUUUUCCAUCUUUAAUCAUUUUAAGGUUGGAAGUCGAAAUCCGUGAGGUAAAAACAAUAACAUUUCCAGCACAAAGUUUGCACAGAUGCAGACCUGCCCAAUGAUCCUUCUAAUCACUUAAUCAACCUGGAAAGCACAGGCCAGCCAGCUGUAAUCACUGAACGAGGUUUCCUAAUGAUUCUUUUACCGUUCCAUCAUCCCAAGCUUCCCCUCUCAGAAAGAAAAGGAAACAAGUUAGAAAUUUAAAAGCCAACUUAAUUGGCACAUCUUUUUAAGUUUCACGUUUUACUACUAAUUUUGCUUCAGCCCCAUUCCUUGGCUACUUCAGCUUGCUGCAUUGAAAUGAAUCUAACAAUAUCAAUCAAAAGUAAUGAUGUUUGAUGAAAUCCAGAGAUUCCUAUCUUUUCACGCCUGAGAAUAGUUGUAACAGAGACUGAAAUUUUAAAAAGAUGUAACUUCUCAAUUCGAUAUGUUCUUGACCAUGUGUAAAACUACAUAAGGAAAUAGGCCAGGCAGACCU